AUGUGCAAGAAAGCCAUCCGAUACGCCGUGGUGGACGCCUUCGCGACCGAGCCGUUCAAGGGCAACCCCGCCGCGGUGUGCCUCCUCGACGACGACAACGCCGCGGACGAGCGGUGGAUGCAGUCCGUCGCCACCGAGUUCAACCUCUCCGAGACCGCCUUCCUCGUCCGCGACUUGUCCCGGCCCGCCAGCGCCGCGCCGCUCUUCCACCUUCGAUGGUUCACCCCCGUCACCGAGGUCGACCUGUGUGGGCACGCGACGUUGGCCUCCGCCCACUUCCUCUUCACGGCCGUUCUGCCGGAGCAUGGCAUGAUCGAGUUCAUGACCAAAUCCGGCAUCCUGACUGCGAAGAAAGUUCCUGCGCCAGGGGGCGCAGGCGAGGCCCACGGGAAGCUGUUUAUUGAGCUGAAUUUCCCCAUGAUUGAUUUCCUGGACUGCAACGAGAUGCCGUCGAUUCCAGAGACCCUAAACGGCGCACCAGUGGUCAGUGUUCACAAAUCGGCGGCCGACGGUGAUCUCAUUGUGGAACUUUCUUCAGCAAAAGAGGUUGCCGACAUCCUUCCUAACAUCGAAGAAAUUAAGAAGUUGUCAUGUGGUGGUAUCAUGGUUACAGGACCGGCACCUGCUGGAUCUGGUUAUAACUUCUUCACACGUUUAUUCUGCCCGAAAUUUGGGAUGGAUGAGGACCCUGUUACUGGCAGUAUACAUUGUGUAUUGGGACCCUUUUGGGGUAGAAAGCUUGGGAAGCAAAAACUGACGGCAUUUCAAGCAUCUCCAAGGGGUGGAACGCUAUACCUGGAACUGGAUGACGCAAAUCGGCGAGUGAAAAUCCAAGGAGAAACCGUUACUGUCAUGUCCGGGACACUCCUGGUGUAA
rnacentral:rRNA from 1 species